rnacentral:rRNA from 1 species
AUAUUGGCCGGAGACCGAUAGCGCACAAGUAGAGUGAUCGAAAGAUGAAAAGCACUUUGAAAAGAGAGUUAAAAAGCACGUGAAAUUGUUGAAAGGGAAGCGCUUGCGACCAGACUCGCUCGCGGGGUUCAGCCGGCAUUCGUGCCGGUGUACUUCCCCACGGGCGGGCCAGCGUCGGUUUGGGCGGUCGGUCAAAGGCCCUCGGAAGGUAACGCCCCUAGGGGCGUCUUAUAGCCGAGGGUGCAAUGCGACCUGCCUAGACCGAGGAACGCGCUUCGGCUCGGACGCUGGCAUAAUGGUCGUAAACGACCCGUCUUGAA